CAGUCGCCGCGGUAAAACGAAGGGGGCUAGCGUUGUUCGGAAUUACUGGGCGUAAAGCGCACGUAGGUGGUUUUUUAAGUCUGAUGUGAAAGCCCACGGCUCAACCGUGGAGGGUCAUUGGAAACUGGAAAACUUGAGUGCAGAAGAGGAAAGUGGAAUUCCAUGUGUAGCGGUGAAAUGCGCAGAGAUAUGGAGGAACACCAGUGGCGAAGGCGACUUUCUGGUCUGUAACUGACGCUGAUGUGCGAAAGCGUGGGGAUCAAACAGGAUUAGAUACCCCAGUAGUCCCUGUCUCUUAUAC
rnacentral:rRNA from 1 species